AUUGAACGCUGGCGGCAGGCUUAACACAUGCAAGUCGAGCGGAGUUUUGGUGCUUGCACCAAGACUUAGCGGCGGACGGGUGAGUAAUGCUUAGGAAUUUGCCUAUUAGUGGGGGACAACGUUUCGAAAGGAACGCUAAUUCCGCAUACGUCCUACGGGAGAAAGCAGGGGAUCUUUGGACCUUGCGCUAAUAGAUGAGCCUAAGUUGGAUUAGCUAGUUGGUGGGGUAAAGGCCUACCAAGGCGACGAUUUGUAGCGGGUUUGAGAGGAUGAUUCGCCCCCCUGGGACUGAGACCCGGCCCCGACUCCUUCGGGAGGCAGCAGUGGGGAAUAUUGGACAAUGGGCGAAAGCCUGAUCCAGCCCUGCCGCGUGCGUGAAGAAGGCCUUUUGGUUGUAAAGCCCUUUAAGCGAGGAGGAGGAGCUUCAGGUUAAUACCCUGGAUGCUUGGACGUUACUCGCAGAAUAAGCCCCGGCUAACUUUGUG
rnacentral:rRNA from 1 species